rnacentral:tRNA from 1 species
GGAGAGUUGGCAGAGCGGUCGAUUGCGGCGGUCUUGAAAACCGUUGAUGGGGCAACUCAUCCGGGGGUUCGAAUCCCUCACUCUCCG